rnacentral:rRNA from 1 species
GAGUUUGAUCUUGGCUCAGAACGAACGCUGGCGGCAGGCCUAACACAUGCAAGUUGAACGUGAAGCCACCUUCGGGUGGUGGAAAGUGGCAGACGGGUGAGUAACGCGUGGGAACGUGCCUUUCGGUUCGGGAUAACCCAGGGAAACUUGGGCUAAUACCGGAUACGCCCUUCGGGGAAGGAUUCAUUGCCGAAAGAUCGGCCCGCGUCGGAUUAGCUAGUUGGUGGGGUAAAGGCUCACCAAGGCGACGAUCCGUAGCUGGUCUGAGAGGAUGACCAGCCACACUGGGACUGAGACACGGCCCAGACUCCUACGGGAGGCAGCAGUGGGGAAUAUUGGACAAUGGGCGCAAGCCUGAUCCAGCCAUGCCGCGUGGGUGAAGAAGGCCUUAGGGUUGUAAACCCCUUUCAGCGGGGAAGAUAAUGACGGUACCCGCAGAAGAAGUCCCGGCUAACUCCGUGCCAGCCGCCGCGGUAAC